rnacentral:rRNA from 1 species
UACGUAGGCAGCAAGCGUUGUUCGGAGUUACUGGGCGUAAAGGGUGUGUAGGCGGUUCUUUAAGUUUGGUGUGAAAUCUCCCGGCUCAACUGGGAGGGUGCGCCGAAUACUGAGGGACUAGAGUACGGGAGAGGAAAGUGGAAUUCCUGGUGUAGCGGUGAAAUGCGUAGAUAUCAUUUGGAACGCCAAUGGUGAAAACAGGUAGCUGGGGAUGCGCUGACGCUGAGACACGAAAGCCAGGGGAGCGAACGGG